GAUGAACGCUAGCGGGAGGCCUAAUACAUGCAAGUCGAGCGGCAGCUAGAGAUUCGUCUUUAGUGAGAGCGGCGCACGGGUGAGUAACGCGUACGAAAUCUACCGAUAGUUGGGGGAGUAGCCCCGGGAAACCGUAGGGAGGUAAUCCGCCAUAUCUUUAUUGAGACGGCAUCGUUUUAUUAAAGAAAGACUGAGGCGACUAUUGAUGAUCGUGCGUCUGAUUAGGUAGUUGGUAGGGUAACGGCCUACCAAGCCGACGAUCAGUAGGGGGCGUGAGAGCGUGACCCCCCACCACGGGUACGUGAGACACGGACCCGACUCCUACGGGAGGCAGCAGUAAGGAAUAUUGGUCGAAUAGGGCGGAAAGACCUGAACC
rnacentral:rRNA from 1 species